rnacentral:rRNA from 1 species
UACGUAGGGGGCAAGCGUUGUCCGGAAUUAUUGGGCGUAAAGCGCGCGCAGGCGGUCUAGUAAGUCUGAUGUGAAAGCCCACGGCUCAACCGUGGAGGGUCAUUGGAAACUGUUAGACUUGAGUAUAGGAGAGGAAAGUGGACUUCCAUGUGUAGCGGUGAAAUGCGUAGAUAUAUGGAGGAACACCAGUGGCGAAGGCGACUUUCUGGCCUAUGUCUGACGCUGAGGCGCGAAAGCGUGGGGAGCAAACAGGAGUAGAUACCCUGGUAGUCCACGCCGUAAACGAUGAGUGCUAGGUGUUAGGGGUUUCGAUGCCCUUAGUGCCGCAGCAAACGCAAUAAGCACUCCGCCUGGGGAGUACGGCCGCAAGGCUGAA